rnacentral:rRNA from 1 species
AGAGUUUGAUCAUGGCUCAGGACGAACGCUGGCGGCACGCCUAACACAUGCAAGUCGAACGGAGAUGAUUUGAGUUUACUUAGAUCAUCUUAGUGGCGGACGGGUGAGUAACACGUGAGCAACCUGCCUUUGAGAGAGGGAUAGCUUCUGGAAACGGAUGGUAAUACCUCAUAACAUACAGAUACCGCAUGGUGACUGUAUCAAAGAUUUAUCACUCAAAGAUGGGCUCGCGUCUGAUUAGAUAGUUGGUGAGGUAACGGCUCACCAAGUCGACGAUCAGUAGCCGGACGAGAGUCUGAACCAGCCAAGUAGCGUGCAGGAAGACGGCCCUAUGGGUUGUAAACUGCUUUUAUAAGGGAAUAAAGUGAGAGUCGUGACUCUUUUUGCAUGUACCUUAUGAAUAAGGACCGGCUAAUUCCGUGCCAGCAGCCGCGGUAAUACGGAAGGUCCGGGCGUUAUCCGGAUUUAUUGGGUUUAAAGGGAGCGUAGGCCGGAGAUUAGGCGUGUUGUGAAAUGUAGACGCUCAACGUCUGCACUGCAGCGCGAACUGGUUUCCUUGAGUACGCACAAAGUGGGCGGAAUUCGUGGUGUAGCGGUGAAAUGCUUAGAUAUCACGAAGAACUCCGAUUGCGAAGGCAGCUCACUGGAGCGCAACUGACGCUGAAGCUCGAAAGUGCGGGUAUCGAACAGGAUUAGAUACCCUGGUAGUCCGCACGGUAAACGAUGGAUGCCCGCUGUUGGUCUGAAUAGGUCAGCGGCCAAGCGAAAGCAUUAAGCAUCCCACCUGGGGAGUACGCCGGCAACGGUGAAACUCAAAGGAAUUGACGGGGGCCCGCACAAGCGGAGGAACAUGUGGUUUAAUUCGAUGAUACGCGAGGAACCUUACCCGGGCUUGAAUUGCAGAGGAAGGAUUUGGAGACAAUGACGCCCUUCGGGGCCUCUGUGAAGGUGCUGCAUGGUUGUCGUCAGCUCGUGCCGUGAGGUGUCGGCUUAAGUGCCAUAACGAGCGCAACCCCUCUCCUUAGUUGCCAUCAGGUUAAGCUGGGCACUCUGGGGACACUGCCACCGUAAGGUGUGAGGAAGGUGGGGAUGACGUCAAAUCAGCACGGCCCUUACGUCCGGGGCUACACACGUGUUACAAUGGCAGGUACAGAGAGACGGUCCCUUGCAAAACGGAUCAAAUCCUUAAAGCCUGUCUCAGUUCGGACUGGGGUCUGCAACCCGACCCCACGAAGCUGGAUUCGCUAGUAAUCGCGCAUCAGCCAUGGCGCGGUGAAUACGUUCCCGGGCCUUGUACACACCGCCCGUCAAGCCAUGAAAGCCGGGGGCGCCUAAAGUCCGUGACCGUAAGGAGCGGCCUAGGGCGAAACUGGUAAUUGGGGCUAAGUCGUAACAAGGUA